rnacentral:rRNA from 1 species
UACAGAGGUCCCAAGCGUUGUUCGGAUUCACUGGGCGUAAAGGGUGCGUAGGUGGCGAGGAAAGUCUGAUGUGAAAUCUCCGGGCUUAACCCGGAAAUGGCAUUGGAAACUACCUUGCUCGAGGAUUGGAGGGGGGACUGGAAUACUUGGUGUAGCAGUGAAAUGCGUAGAUAUCAAGUGGAACACCAGUGGCGAAGGCGAGUCCCUGGACAACUCCUGACACUGAGGCACGAAAGCUAGGGGAGCAAACGGG